rnacentral:piRNA from 1 species
UCUUCUCGGAGCUGCUGUCCAACCUGU